rnacentral:rRNA from 1 species
UUUAACCUACGGGAGGCAGCAGUGGGGAAUAUUGCACAAUGGGGGAAACCCUGAUGCAGCGACGCCGCGUGAGUGAAGAGGUAAUUCGUUAUGUAAAGCUCUAUCAGCAGGGAAGAAACAGACGGUACCUGAGUAAGAAGCCCCGGCUAACUACGUGCCAGCAGCCGCGGUAAUACGUAGGGGGCAAGCGUUAUCCGGAUUUACUGGGCGUAAAGGGAGCGUAGACGGCGAAGAAAGUCUGAAGUGAAAGCCCGCGGCUUACCCGCGGAACUGCUUUGGAAACUUUUUUGCUGGAGUAUCGGAGG